GAUGAACGCUGGCGGCGUGCCUAAUACAUGCAAGUCGAGCGAACAGACGAGGAGCUUGCUCCUCUGACGUUAGCGGCGGACGGGUGAGUAACACGUGGAUAACCUACCUAUAAGACUGGGAUAACUUCGGGAAACCGGAGCUAAUACCGGAUAAUAUAUUGAACCGCAUGGUUCAAUAGUGAAAGACGGUUUUGCUGUCACUUAUAGAUGGAUCCGCGCCGCAUUAGCUAGUUGGUAAGGUAACGGCUUACCAAGGCAACGAUGCGUAGCCGACCUGAGAGGGUGAUCGGCCACACUGGAACUGAGACACGGUCCAGACUCCUACGGGAGGCAGCAGUAGGGAAUCUUCCGCAAUGGGCGAAAGCUUGACGGAGCAACGCCGCGUGAGUGAUGAAGGUCUUCGGAUCGUAAAACGCUGUUUUAGGGAAGAACAAAUGUGUAAGUAACUAUGCACGUCUUGACGGUACCUAAUCAGAAAGCCACGGCUAACUACGUG
rnacentral:rRNA from 1 species